rnacentral:lncRNA from 1 species
UAAGAUCGUAAAAACACAGCUCUGGUCCAGUUUCCGAUGCUACAUCAUCUGUAAAUAAUAGUUAAUGAGUAUACACAAAUUCAUUAAAGUAAAUUCAAAUCAUAAACAUAGCAUGAAAAUCUAGUUAAACGUCUACUCUCCUAGGUCCCAACUUCCAUUAGUCACGCCAUUCCUCCUACUCACACUCUUCUCCUCUUACUCACCUACCCC